rnacentral:rRNA from 1 species
AUGCAGUCGAACGAUGAACCACUUCGGUGGGGAUUAGUGGCGAACGGGUGAGUAACACGUGGGCAAUCUGCCCUUCACUCUGGGACAAGCCCUGGAAACGGGGUCUAAUACCGGAUAACACUGCGGAUCGCAUGGUCUGCGGUUGAAAGCUCCGGCGGUGAAGGAUGAGCCCGCGGCCUAUCAGCUUGUUGGUGGGGUGAUGGCCUACCAAGGCGACGACGGGUAGCCGGCCUGAGAGGGCGACCGGCCACACUGGGACUGAGACACGGCCCAGACUCCUACGGGAGGCAGCAGUGGGGAAUAUUGCACAAUGGGCGAAAGCCUGAUGCAGCGACGCCGCGUGAGGGAUGACGGCCUUCGGGUUGUAAACCUCUUUCAGCAGGGAAGAAGCGAAAGUGACGGUACCUGCAGAAGAAGCGCCGGCUAACUACGUGCCAGCAGCCGCGGUAAUACGUAGGGCGCAAGCGUUGUCCGGAAUUAUUGGGCGUAAAGAGCUCGUAGGCGGCUUGUCGCGUCGGAUGUGAAAGCCCGGGGCUUAACCCCGGGUCUGCAUUCGAUACGGGCAGGCUAGAGUGUGGUAGGGGAGAUCGGAAUUCCUGGUGUAGCGGUGAAAUGCGCAGAUAUCAGGAGGAACACCGGUGGCGAAGGCGGAUCUCUGGGCCAUUACUGACGCUGAGGAGCGAAAGCGUGGGGAGCGAACAGGAUUAGAUACCCUGGUAGUCCACGCCGUAAACGUUGGGAACUAGGUGUUGGCGACAUUCCACGUCGUCGGUGCCGCAGCUAACGCAUUAAGUUCCCCGCCUGGGGAGUACGGCCGC